UCUUCUUGUUUCUUCACCAACACACGGGUUUGAUUCGACGGAGCAAGAGAUAUUGGUCAAAGUUCGGAGCUUUCUUCAACCAACGAAAAAGCUUUGCUUUUUAUGUACCCACCAAAGAGCCAAAGAUCCUGAUAGAGCUUGUCAUCUCGAUCCUCAUAUACGCCGCCGGUGAAGCUUGCCGUCUCGAUCCGCCGGUGAAGUUGAACGUGUCGUCUCCGAUGUCUACUCGACGAAGCUCAAGGCUCGUCCUCCGGGAGGGGGAUCAAAAAGUCGAUGACUUUACGCGUCUCUGGUCCACAAUCGCAGUAGUCGCCGGGGAGAUCGAGCCAGAGGAGUCCUCGGGGAGAAGGAGGAGUCAUGACCGACGACGGCUCUGAAAGAUUGAAUCGAACAUGGAAGAUGUCGAUGAGGCUGUUGUUGCUUUCCCGCAUCGGUCGAGUUACAUUCCAUCCCCGCCAACGACGAGCUAGCCUGUGACUGAAGGAGAAAAGAUAAAUGGUGGCGAUCUGCUCCAAGUCAUCUUGGCUCAGAAAGACCGCAACAAAGCUCGAGAAUUGAACUCGACGCCGGCUUGAUCUCACGAGCUUGAUCUUGGCGGCAAUGGCCAUGGUGCUUCAGUCUCGAUCCGCCGGUAAAGCUUCUGGGACUGCUCUUCCGGGAUUGUUCAAGCUUCUCUCCAACAUCUACUUAAAAUCACCAAUCGUGGCCCACCAACGAGGAGCUUUCGGGUUGAAGUGGUCUGAGACCGCCAUCUCGAGUUUUCACCAAACAUCCAUUGAGUGGGUCAGUUCAGCAUCUCCGGACCAGAGGACUUCAAAGGUACGAGCUUUCCGGAGAUUGCCGACAAGGAGAACACGUGGAGUUCAUCGUCUCUACUUCAAAGGUUUUCACAUUCCGAGCUGGCUGUUGAGUUGCAAGAAGCUGCAAGUUCUCGAUCCUUCUUGAAGGUGAAAAGGAACGUGGGAGCGUAGAGAUCACAUGAUCUAGGAAAAAGCCUUCAUGGCCUGCAACUACGAUAGCAUGGCUUGGUACGAGAUCAACAUCUCGUCAUCAACAUCUUGCUUCUUCGCAACAUCUUGGUUCUUCAUCAAGCAGGCGCUCGAGACAAGCUUGUCGUAACCGGCACAAGCUCCUCGUCGAAGAAGACCAUCUCGCCAGCCACUUGACAAAUUCAAGCUCAUUGUAUUUUCUAGAGCAGCUUAAAUGUUUGCGUACCUCAGCACCAAGUUCUUAUAGUUGAGAGUCUUAUAUAGUUCUCAGAGCUCAUGUGAUCACUCUUGUGACGAUCAAUGAAGAUCUCGGCAACUGAAGAUGAGAAGAGUCUGAUUCUUCUUGUAUCCUUGGCAACAAGAUCCCGAGAAGCCACCACUAGUUGCUCCCUGCAACUCAGCAAAACUCAGUAAAUUCUUGAGCUGCUUCUGUUUCUUACAGUGAGAAGGAAAUAAAGAAAGGCUCCCAACCAUUUCUUCACCGCAAAGACAAGCCCUUUAACUGAAUCAUCACGUGCAUUAAUCACCUUUAUAUUAUACAUAUGUGUCAUGGUGAACAUUAUAGCUGUGGUUUAUUAUUAAAAAAAAAACUCUAAAGUUAUAUUAUACAUAUGUCACGCUCUCAUCAUAGCUGUGUCAUGAUUUAUGUUAUUGCUGAUGGCCUUUAGUAUAACUAGUUAGCAAUUAUCAUGUCCGUACGUUAUGCAAAAGUCGCUUGUUUCUUUUUGGUUUAUAUUGAUCUGAUCAUGACCAUACUUUUGUGAACCAGAGAUCGUUGAGCCAAAGAGAAAAAGAAUCAACAAACGAUUCAUGCUUCGAAAGAUGGCUCUUAGCUACGAGCUCGUCGGAAGCAGUACAAGCGACACAGACCAGCACGUUUCUCAACAUCAUCAUAGCCUGACGAACACACAAGCCAACAACUUGCUCGGCACACACGAUCUCAACACGAGAUUUCGGAUCGACAAUAGUUCGGUAAACGUGUAUUUUAGGCACAAGUUUAAAUUGAACUUGCUUUUUAUUAGGCACGAGUUUGCAGUCGACUCGCUUAUUGUUAGACACGAGUUUACAAAAACUUAUCUUUGGCUAGGCAUGAGUUUACAGAAGCUCUCCUUCCACUAGACACGAGUUCUCAGUAAACUCGCCUCUGUCUUAGCAUGAGUCAAGGAAACUCGUCUUUCGCUAAGCACGAGUUUAAAGCAAACUUGAUUUUUACUAGGCACAAGUUCGAAAUAAACUCGCCUAAAUCGUCAUAGGCAUGAGUGUGUCUAGUUCAUUGUCUAAUAAACCCUAUUCGUAAACUUCGCAGAGAUCGAUUUUAUCUCUCUCAACGAACUUGGGGGGACUUACUGUUGGGGGUGGAUUUACAUCCUCCCUCAAGACCCAUUAGACAAUGAGCUAGGCUCAUUUUAUUAUGAUGUCCUAGCUUUUUCCUUGUAUAAAUAAAGAGACACAUCUCUUUAGCAAGGGAUCUCUUCUCUCAUUUUACACAUUAAACACUUCUUACAAAGAAUUUAUAGAUUUAGAUUUACUUGAUCACUCUUGUAAUACAAUCUUCGAUCUAUAAAUUCUUUUUGAUGUUCAUUUCUCAUUUGAUUCUUCAAGAUUUUUCCUAAACCGCAACAAUCUAAUCUUUUAUUUUUAGAUUCUUUUAUUGUAUUGAUUCAACAAACAUUUCAGCAUAAAAACCAUUUUUGGAUCAAACAAUCACCACCUAAUCUCCAUUCCAAGUUGUUUCUUCUCUUCUCAUCUAAUCUCCAUCAUAAAGAGAUGCACUCAAGAGAAGACGUGGUUACCGGAGAAUCACUUCGUUAGUGCCGUAUCAACACCACCGCCAUCAUCUGCAUCAAACCGUGAGAAAAGUCAAGUGAGAGAUCGCAAGUAAAGCCGGAGCCGUAGCCACCAUCUCAACGCGUGACCAAUCACUGAUCUGCACCGCAACGUUUUGCUGACCACCGGAGACGUUACCUUGUUGUCGGCGAUUGUGACGUCUCUAUAACCAAAGAGAGACGUGGGAUCUUGGUAAGCUCUAACUCUUUCUUGAUCCCCAAGCUUGGUCCCCCACUUUCAGUUAAGCGUUGAUCACCACCAUCUUGAACCGUGAGGAAGGAAGCGUGGAAUUUAGGUGUGGUUUAUUCAACAAGUAAUUCUUUAUAAAGGUUAGACCAAGGCUUUUUGGAUAAGGUUUAUUAUUUCUCAAGAAUUUCCGUUCCAUCUCCGGUUUUGACUAAGGUGAGAGCUAUUCCGUUAAAUCCCGAGCUAGUUUAGUACUACUAUUAUGGAAAGUCUACUUUCGAAACAUGAUCCGUCUCUGUGAAUUGAGUCUGUUUGAAAGUCUUGUUUGUUUAUUAUUGUUAUUGAUUGUUAAAUCGAAAAUAGGAUAAUAGAUGAUUCAACGGUUGAAUGAAUUGAGUGAUGUUAAAACUGCUAUAUAUAUGUAUAUAAAUAUAUAAGUCCAUUUGUGUGGAUUGCGGGUGCACAAAGACGUUUGUGUAAGCCGCCGACGAGCAGUGUGAUUGCGGGUGUACAAAGACGUUUGUGUAAGCCGCCGACGAGCAGUGAGAUUACGGGGGUACAAAGACGUUUGUAUCAGUCACCGACGCGCAGAUUCUGGAAGUACAGAGAUGGACUACUGUACGCCUGGAGAUAUACAUAUAUCCUUAUGAGGAAAUGCGGGAUGCAUAGAGUAGCAUGUACUAUCAGCGCACUGGAUGUUUUAUGUGGUGUAUUAGACACUGUGUUUGUUUCAUGCUAGGGCUAGGCCUACAUGGUCGUAGUGCUAUGUACUGAGUCAGUGGUUUGCGGUUUAACAUCUCAUACCUCACGGAGUAACUCCCCUGUUACUCACCCCUCCUUUCUUUCCCCUUUCAGGUGAGACUGACGAGCAUGAGUGAUUGCUAUCGGACUGGUGCUUUGGGAGUUUUAUUUCUUUCUUUUUUUGACUUACAGUUUUUAUGCUUUUAUCGAUAUUUACGAGAUUUAUUAUGUUAUUUUGAUUUACAACUUUGAAAUUGACUUUUGGUAAGUAAUAAAUAGAAAUUUCAGACUUUUUAUUUA